AGAGCGAACGCUGGCGGCAGGCUUAACACAUGCAAGUCGAGCGGGCGUAGCAAUACGUCAGCGGCAGACGGGUGAGUAACGCGUGGGAACGUACCUUUUGGUUCGGAACAACCCAGGGAAACUUGGGCUAAUACCGGAUAAGCCCUUACGGGGAAAGAUUUAUCGCCGAAAGAUCGGCCCGCGUCUGAUUAGCUAGUUGGUGAGGUAAUGGCUCACCAAGGCGACGAUCAGUAGCUGGUCUGAGAGGAUGAUCAGCCACAUUGGGACUGAGACACGGCCCAAACUCCUACGGGAGGCAGCAGUGGGAAUAUGACAAUGGGCGCAAGCCUGAUCCAGCCAUGCCGCGUGAGUGAUGAAGGCCCUAGGGUUGUAAAGCUCUUUGUGCGGAAGAUAAUGACGGUACCGCAAGAAUAACGCCCCGGCUAACUUCGUGCCAGCAGCCGC
rnacentral:rRNA from 1 species